AUGGAGUUGACCUUUGCUGGAACGGACAAGUUUGGAUGCCCCCCUGCGCCUUUGGUGAGAGGGGAAGAUAGAUACCUGGCUGCCUGGAAAAGUAUUUUUCAAAUUAACCAGAAUGAGUUUGACUUGGUGUACAAAUGCCUUAAUGUGGAACUUCAAGAAAAGGUAUUACUACUGUUCCCUGUUUGCCUACCAACAAAUAUUUGGGGAGAACUCCUGAAUUUUUCACAUACCACUGGAAGCUAA
rnacentral:rRNA from 1 species